rnacentral:rRNA from 1 species
AUCUUGCGCAAUGGUCUAACGACUGACGCAGCGACGCCGCGUGUGGGAGGACGCCUUUCGGGGUGUAAACCACUGUUGCCCGGGACGAACGAGCGCUUUCGAGCGCUGUGACGGUACCGGGUGAGGAAGCACCGGCUAACUCCGUGCCAGCAGCCGCGGUAAUACGGAGGGUGCGAGCGUUGUCCGGAAUCAUUGGGCGUAAAGGGCGCGUAGGUGGCCCGGUCAGUCUUUGGUGAAAGCGCGGGGCUCAACCCUGCGUCGGCCAGGGAUACUGCCGCGGCUCGAGCACUGUAGAGGCAGGCGGAAUUCCGGGUGUAGCGGUGGAAUGCGUAGAGAUCCGGAAGAACACCGGUGGCGAAGGCGGCAUCCUGGACCGGUAUUGACGCUGAGGCGCGAAAGCUAGGGGAGCAAAC